UACCAGCACCCCGAGUGGUCGGGACGUUUAUUGGGCCUAAAGCAUCCGUAGCCGGUUCUACAAGUCUUCCGUUAAAUCCAACUGCUUAACAGGUGGGCUGCGGAAGAUACUAUAGAGCUAGGAGGCGGGAGAGGCAAGCGGUACUCGAUGGGUAGGGGUAAAAUCCGUUGAUCCAUUGAAGACCACCAGUGGCGAAGGCGGCUUGCCAGAACGCGCUCGACGGUGAGGGAUGAAAGCU
rnacentral:rRNA from 1 species